CACGUAGUUAGCCGUGGCUUUCUUGAAUGGUACAGUCAAUCUCUAAUCAUUUCCUAUUAGAGCCGUUCUUCCCAAACAACAGAACUUUACAAUCCAGAAGACCGUCAUCGUUCACGCGGCAUUGCUCGUUCAGGGUUUCCCCAUUGACGAAUAUUCCUAACUGCUGUCUCCCGUAGGAGUCUGGGCCGUGUCUCAGUCCCAGUGUGGCCGAUCAACCUCUCAGUUCAGCUAUGCAUCGUUGACUUGGUAGGCUCUUACCCCACAACUAUCUAAUGCACCGCAGGCCCAUCUCUUAGCGAAGCUUUAAAGGCUUCCUUUAAUCCGUAGAUCACUAUUCGGUAUUAACAAUCGUUUCCAAUUGGUAUCCCCAUCUAAGAGUAGGUAACCCAGUGUACUCACCGUUUGCCACUAGGUGGAAAUUCCACGUCCUUCUCUUCCUACUUCUCGUAGCAAGCUCUACUAAAGUUUCUAUCAAAUUCUGUGGGCCACCUCGUUCGUACUUCG
rnacentral:rRNA from 1 species